rnacentral:tRNA from 1 species
GCCCAGGUAGCUCAGUGGUAGAGCACUUCCUUGGUAAGGAAGAGGUCUCGGGUCCGACUCCCGAUCUGGGCUCUC